UGUCCUGGCUUCACAGUUUGUCCAGGGACAGAGGAGAAUCAUAUGCUGUGGCCUCAUAUUCUGCCACUGUGUCAUAGUAGUCCAUGUCACAGAGCUGGCUGUAUGCCAGUCACGUGGUCAAAAUCUCAUCCCUUUCUCUGCCAACUCUUGACACAUGCUCAGAUGUCUUAUAGUAGGCAUGUACAGUCUUGUCCUAAGGAUGUAUUUGUUCAUAUGGAAUGUGAGAACUUAGAACACAUCUAAAUUUAUUUUCUGCCAACUAGCCAGAGAAAUUUGUUUUGGAUUUGAGAGGAAGGAAGAGAACUUCAUAUUGUACCAAGUAAUUUGUCUGCAUUGUAAGCAGAAAUUGCAUCUCCUGAGGCUUUUCAAGGAGCUGUGAGACUUCUCUUUACUUGGACUCAGCUGAAAAUACAAGACGUGUUUAUUAUGAUCUCAGUUGUUCCUUAAAGAUGACUGAGAGUAUGAAGCAGAGCACCAGCACCAGGAGGAGCAGUGCAGGAAGGGCCUGACAGGGCAACUGUGGAACAGUAUGCACUCUUUGGGAAAGAAGAUGUAAGAGAAGCUGGCCCUUGGCCUGGAUGAACAAGGGGAAACUCUUUUAAAUAAAAGAUGAAAUAAAUGCAUAAGCAAUCAGGGAGAGUUUUGCCACCACA